rnacentral:SRP_RNA from 1 species
GCCCGGCGCGGUGGCGCGCGCCUGUAGUCCCAGCUACUCGGGAGGCUGAGGUGGGAGGAUCACUUGAGUCCAGGAGUUCUGGGCUGCAGUGCGCUAUGCCGAUCGGUGUCCGCACUAAGUUCAGCAUUAAUAUAGUGACCUCCCGGGAGCGAGGGACCACCAGGUUGCCUAAGGAGGGGUGAACCCGCCCAGGUCGGAAACGGAGCAGGUCAAAACUCCCGUGCUGAUCAGUAGUGGGAUCGGGCCUGUGAAUAGCCACUGCACUCCAGCCUGGGCAAUAUAGUGAGACCCUGUCUCUA